rnacentral:rRNA from 1 species
UACGGAGGAGGCAAGCGUUAUCCGGAAUUAUUGGGCGUAAAGCGUCCGCAGGUGGCUAUUCAAGUCUGCGGUCAAAGACUGGGGCUUAACCCUGGAAAGGCCGUGGAAACUGAAGAGCUAGAGUGCAGUAGGGGUAGAGGGAAUUCCCGGUGUAGCGGUGAAAUGCGUAGAUAUCGGAAGGAACAUCAGUGGCGAAAGCGGCUUCCUGGACCAGCACCGACGUUCAGGCACGAAAGCGUGGGGAGCAAACAGG